GACGAACGCUGGCGGCGUGCUUAACACAUGCAAGUCGAACGGAAAGGCCCUGCUUUUGUGGGGUGCUCGAGUGGCGAACGGGUGAGUAACACGUGAGUAACCUGCCCUUGACUUUGGGAUAACUUCAGGAAACUGGGGCUCAUCCCGGCUAGGAGCUCCUGCUGCUUGGUGGGGGUUGGAAAGUUUCGGCGGUUGGGGAUGGACUCGCGGCUUAUCAGCUUGUUGGUGGGGUAGUGGCUUACCAAGGCUUUGACGGGUAGCCGGCCUGAGAGGGUGACCGGCCACAUUGGGACUGAGAUACGGCCCAGACUCCUACGGGAGGCAGCAGUGGGGAAUAUUGCACAAUGGGCGGAAGCCUGAUGCAGCAACGCCGCGUGCGGGAUGACGGCCUUCGGGUUGUAAACCGCUUUCGCCUGUGACGAAGCGUGAGUGACGGUAAUGGGUAAAGAAGCACCGGCUAACUACGUG
rnacentral:rRNA from 1 species